GUGCCAGCAGCCGCGGUAAUACGGAGGAUGCGAGCGUUAUCCGGAUUUAUUGGGUUUAAAGGGUGCGUAGGCUGUGAAUCAAGUCAGCGGUUAAAUGUCGGGGCUCAACCUCGGCCUGCCGUUGAAACUGGUUUACUAGAGUGGGACAGAGGCAUGCGGAAUGCGAGGUGUAGCGGUGAAAUGCAUAGAUAUCACGCAGAACUCCGAUUGCGAAGGCAGCGUGCCAUGUCCCAACUGACGCUGAGGCACGAAAGUGUGGGUAUCGAACAGGAUUAGAUACCCUGGUAGUCCACACAGUAAACGAUGAAUACUAACUGUUCGGUUCGAUUGAGAAUUGAGCGGCACAGCGAAAGCGUUAAGUAUUCCACCUGGGGAGUACGCCGGCAACGGUGAAACUCAAAGGAAUUGACGGGGGCCCGCACAAGCGGAGGAACAUGUGGUUUAAUUCGAUGAUACGCGAGGAACCUUACCCGGGCUUGAAAUGUACCUGACAGAUGGCAGAGACGUCAUUUUUCUUCGGACAGGUAUGUAGGUGCUGCAUGGUUGUCGUCAGCUCGUGCCGUGAGGUGUCGGCUUAAGUGCCAUAACGAGCGCAACCCCUUCCGCCGGUUACCAUCGAGUCAUGUCGGGGACUCCGGCGGCACUGCCAUCGCAAGAUGCGAGGAAGGCGGGGAUGACGUCAAAUCAGCACGGCCCUUACGUCCGGGGCCACACACGUGUUACAAUGGGAGGCACAGCAAGCUGGCCUUUGGCGACAAAGGUCCAAUCCGUAAAUCCUCUCCCAGUUCGGACUGGAGUCUGCAACCCGACUCCACGAAGCUGGAUUCGCUAGUAAUCGCGCAUCAGCCAUGGCGCGGUGAAUACGUUCCCGGGCCUUGUACACACCGCCCGU
rnacentral:rRNA from 1 species